GACAGAGGGGGCGAGCGUUAUCCGGAGUCACUGGGCGUAAAGCGCGCGCAGGCUGCAACCUAAGUGUCGUGUGAAAGCCCCCGGCUCAACCGGGGGAGGCCAUGGCAAACUGGGUCGCUCGAGCUGCGGAGAGGCCCCUCGAAUUGCCGGUGUAGCGGUGAAAUGCGUAGAGAUCGGCAGGAAGACCAAGGGGGAAGCCAGGGGGCUGGCCGCAGGCUGACGCUGAGGCGCGACAGCGUGGGGAGCAAACCGG
rnacentral:rRNA from 1 species